GACGAACCGUACGAACGUUAUUCGGAAUCACUGGGCUUAAAGGGUGCGUAGGCGGCGCUGAAAGUUGGGUGUGAAAGCCCUCGGCUUAACCGAGGAAUUGCGCCCAAAACUGCAGUGCUUGAGGGAGAUAGAGGUGAGUGGAACUUAGGGUGGAGCGGUGAAAUGCGUUGAUAUCCUAAGGAACACCAGUGGCGAAAGCGACUCACUGGGUCUUCUCUGACGCUGAGGCACGAAAGCUAGGGUAGCGAACGGGAUUAG
rnacentral:rRNA from 1 species